GCCUCUGGAGUUGCUGGGAUUACAAGUGUGUACCACCACACAUGGCUCUGCCUGCUCAGCAAAUUCACCAGAGUGCCAGGAUCAAUCACUAUUUCUGAGGAUAUCCUGGUGAGGCAGUUUGGAAACCUUGGUAAGUUGUGAGUAGUUUCUUUGGUAGUAGAGAAGGGAAAGUGGUCAUGAUGUGGCACUUUCAGCCUUCUUUCAGCAGAUAGUUAUUAAGUACUUACUAAAUGCUAGAAACUGUUCUUGACAUUAACAAAGUCACAGAACUUUAAUUCUUGUGAGUUUGGACAAAAGGAUAAAUAACCAAUAAAUGUGAAAUGUGGACUGGGGAUAUAACUCAGUGGUCAAGCACUUGCCUAGCAUGUGUGAGGCCCUGGGUUUAAUCUGCAGCUCUGCCCCGACCAUCAAAAAAGAGUAAAAUAUUGAGAUUUUUAUAUUGGAUUUUUUCCCAUGGUGAAGUGAAAAAUUGCAUUUAAAAUGGUUGAGUUAAACUGUGCAACAUCGUGUGUUUUUCUCCCUUCUAUUCAUUUUCCCUUUUUAUACCUGCCACUGUUUCUUAAUGCAAUGGAGGCUGACCUAGCUGAAUGCAGAUAAUAAUAUUUAUUUAUUUAUUUAUUUUUGUAACUCUUUAUUAGGCUGAAUUGUGAAGGCAUAUCUUUGAAAAGUGUUUCAGAGUCCAGCAAAUGUUCCAUGUGAGUGACCACAUAGAAGAAGAGAAGGGGGUUCGCAGUGAUUAAGGUAAUAUAGUGAAAAAGGUAAGUAGGAGAUGACUCCUGUCAGGGAGGCUCUUAGAAAUGCCAUUUUCAAACCACUUAGAAAGCCUGAAACUUUCUCUAAAAUGUAUUCUCAAAAUAGUUUGGGGGGAUAUAUGUAUUUACUCAGUUUGUGAUCACCACUGCUGAGGAUCAGAAGAACUGAAAUGGUUCCUAAGUAACCAAGAUGGCAUAAACUCCAGAAUUUUGGUGUUGGGGCUCAAACCCAGGGCCUUGUGCAUGUUAAGCUCAUGUCCUAUCCCUGGGUUACACUCCCAGCCCGUGAGCUUCUGGUUUUGUAAGGUUUUAUUGGAAUGUAGUUAUCAUUCAUUAUUGUCUGUUUUUUUUUUUUUUUUUCUACAGCAGGAUCUUGUGAGAGAGACUCUAUGGUCUGUAGAGCCUGAGGUAUUAUCAUGUGACUCUUUAUAGGAAGUUUGCCAACUCCUGGUAUAGGUUAAAUGUAUUAUGUCCAAAAUCUUCCUUAUCCCACUUUCUUUAUAUGGGGUAUGUGUUUACAGCUGAUCCUAGGAUAUAUGGAAUCAAUUUGCUUUUUAAUUUCUUUUCAAACUCUCCAAGAAAGUACAUUCACAAAUUAUAAAUUUAAGAAAUAUAUAGAAGGAACUAUGUUUUAUAUGCUUCCUUGUAGUUAAUUUAUUUAUUAUAUAUGGUUCUUGCAUUACUUCUUUUUUUUAUAACCAUUUUAAAAUUAGGCCAUUCAUAAGUAUCCAGAAAGUUAUAACUUAUGAUCCCUACUUUAACCUUUUCCUGAUUUUAGUAUACUUCCCCACUGUGGCUUUUUUGCAUAUUUCUGCAGAUGUUUUGACUUUUCUGGGGAGAAAAGUCACCUUAGAACAUAAUUUUCUGUAGUUCUAUAUUGGGGAAAUAUGCAACUUAUAGCUUUUUGUGCAUUUAAUGCCAUUUAUUGAGCAUCUACUAGGAGCCUAUGCAUACUUUCAUAGAAUCUGCUCAAACCCAAAGAUUUGCAUGUUAAUCAGUUAUCUAGUUAUCUAUUUUUUUUUUCUUUCCAUACCAGAGAUUGAACUCAGGGACAUUCAAUUAUUGAGUCACAUCCCCACAUCCCCAUCUCUUUUUAUUUUUUGAAACAGGGCCUCACUAAAUUGCUAGGAUUGGCUUUGAACUUGUGAUCCUCCUUCUUCAGCUUCCUGAGCUGCUGGGAUUAAAGAUGUGUUGGCAAGUUAUCUCCAUUUCAAGGAUGAAUCUUUGAAAGCACAAGUGACUUUUCCUAAAUCAUAUUGCUAAUUAGUAGUACAAAUGGGACUUAAAAGAAUAUGUUACUCUUUGGUACUGGGAAUUGAAUUCAGUGCCUCACACAUGCCAGGCAAGCACUCUACUACUGAGCUACAUCUCCAGCCCUCCUUAUUUGUUUACUUAUUGGUUGGUUGGUCUUGGAUUUGAACCCAGGGUCUUGUGCAUGCUAAGCAUAUACUCUACCUCUACCCCUUAGCUGCACCCCAGCCCCCCUUUUCUUUUCUCUCUCUCUCUCUCUUUUUUUUGGUACCAAGGAUUGAAUCCAGGGACACUUAACCACUGAGCCACAUCCCACACCUCCCCCCCCUUUUUAAAUUAUUGCCCUUUUUUUAACACCUUUAUUUUUAUUUAUUUUUAUGUUGUAUUGAGGAUGGGACCCAGUGCCUCCACAUGCUAGGCAAGCGCUCUUCCACUGAGCUACAACCCCUGCCUCUGUUCUUUCUUUUUUUUUUUUUGGAGCUGGGGAUUGAACCCAGGGCCUCAUGCAUGCUAGGAAAGUGCUUUUUCACCAAGCUAUCUCCCUCCCUUCCCCCAGCCCUUUUUGAAGAGCUUUAUUUUAUUUAUGUAUUUUUAUGUGGUGCUGAAGAUCAAACCCAGUGUCUCACACAUGUUAGGCAAGCGCUUUACUACUAUCUCCCCAGCCCUUCUUCAGCCCUUGUUUAUAUUUUAUUCAGAGAUGGUCUUGCUGAGUUGCUUAAGGCCUCAAUAAGUUGCUGUUGCUGGUUUGAACUUGCAAAUCCUCUGCCUCAGCCUUCUGAGCUGCUGGAUUAUAGGAGUGUACCACUGGGCCCAGCCCUUUUUCUCUUCCUUUUCUUUUCUUUCUUUUUUUUUUUUUUGUGGUUUAUGUUGCUGGGGAUCAAACCCAGGGCUUUGCCACAUGCUAGGCAAGUAUUUAACCACUAAGCUAUAGCCCCUAGCCCUUCCAUUUUCUAUGUAAGUAUUAUCAAAGUUUUUUUUUUUUUAAAGAGAAAGAGAGAGAGAACUUUUUAAUGUUUAUUUAUUUUUUUGGUUUUCGGCGGACACAACAUCUUUGUUUGUAUGUGGUGCUGAGGAUCGAACCCGGGCCGCACGCAUGCCAGGCGAGCGCGCUACCACUUGAGCCACAUCCCCAGCCCCUUGGGAAAAUUCUUUAUGAGAGACUUCGUUGAAGUGAAAUAUUCACUGUAAUCAGGAGUCAGAAGCCAGUCACCUAACCCUACAUGUUCUCCUUCCCUUGCAUAUCAGGCUAUUCAUUCUGUUUUCCUUUUCAACAACUUAGGGUAAAUUGGUAAUACUGUUCUAUCUAAAACCCUUCUCAGCAUUUUCUCCUUUCUGUCUCUUUCUGUCUGAGGUCAGCCACAUAUCUACUCUCUAGAAACCUUAUUGUCUUUUUUUUUCUUUUGCUGGUAAUUGAACACAGGGUCUUGUGCAUGCCAGACAGGCACUCUACCAACUAAGCUAUAUCCCCAGCCCAUAGAAACCUUACUGUCUUAUUUUGGUCAAGUCCAAUGAUAGCUUUUUAUAGGUCCUUAUGCUCAAAGAGACUAGAUGAGGAGAUGAGGAGUUUUUUUACUUAAUAGCUAAUGAUUUUGGGGUGACUGGGAUUCAGGGAGGGUCUGGGAACCUUUAAGAAUUCUGUUAAUUUUCUCUUUUUUGAAAUGGGGUCUCUCCAUGCUGUCCUGGCUGGGCUCAAGUGAUUUUUUUUUUAAAGAGAGAGAGAGAGAAUUAAUUUUUUUAAUAUUUAUUUUUCAGUUUUUGGUUGACAUCUUUAUUUUAUUUUUAUGUGGUGCUGAGGAUCGAACCCAGCGUCCCAUGCAUGCCAGGUGAGCAUGUUACCGCGUGAGCCACAUCCCCAGCCCUCAAGUGAUUUUUCAUGUCUUAGCCCCUCUAAGGCUUCUGAGUAGCCGAGACUGAAGAUUGAAGGACUUCCUACCCCAACUUUUUAGAAUUUGAAUGUCAAAUGGGGCCUGAUAAAUCUUCCUAGAGAGAAGAAUUCCCAGCAUUGGUAUAUUUGGAUAACCAUGAUUCCUCUGUAGUAGUGAUAGAACACAUUGAUGUGACUAUUGUUUGUGUAGCAGAAUAUUAAAAUAUGGUAGGCAUAAUGGUACCCCACAGAAAAUGAGCCAUAAAAGGGCCUUUUAGAAUCAGGAUUUUUUUUCCCCCUGUGGCACUUGAGAUUGAACCCAGGGGCCCUAUGGCACCUAGGUCCGUCCCCAGCCCUUUUUACUGUUUUGAUACAGGAUCAUGCUAAAUUGGUCUUGAACUUACAGUCCUCCUAUCUCAGCCUCCCAUGUUGCUGGGGUUACAGAUAUGUGCCACCAUUCCUGGCUGUGGCUCAUUUGUUUUAGGUUACAUAAAUGGAGAAUUUUAAAGACUAUAAGAUCGUCUCUUUUUUGGGGGGGUCUGUAGGUAAUGGUACUGGGAAUUGAACCCAGAAGGGCUUUAAACUGAGCUGUAUCCCCAGGUGUUUUUAUUUUUAUUUGGCGACAGGUCUCACAGCCCAGGCUGUCCUUGAAUUUAAAACCCUUCAGUCUCAACCUCUCCAGUUGUUGGGAUUAUAGGCAUGUGCCACUGUACUAGCCUACAAGACCUUCUCGAUUGUACUACCCUUUAAUAGGUGGAGUAGUACUCAGCAUUGGGCUUUCAGACUCAAAAUGGUAUGUAAUCAAAAAGGCCUUGCAGUCUUUGUUUGUAUGUGGUGCUGAGGAUCGAACCCGGGCCGCACGCAUGCCAGGCGAGCGCAUUACCGCUUGAGCCACAUCCCCAGCCCAUAUUUUUUAAUUUUUAAUUUUUUUUUUUUUUUGCAGUAAUGGGGAUUGAGCCUAGGGGUACUUUAACACUGAGCUAUAUCCCUACCUUUUUUUAAAAAUUUUAUUUUUUUGUUGUUGUUAUUCAUGGACAGAAUGUCUUUAUUUAUUUUUAUGUGGUGCUAAAAAUAGCCCCACACAUGAUAGGCAAGCGCUCUUCCACUCAGCCCCAGCCCUAUAUCCCUACCUUUUUUAUUUCUUAUUUUGAGACAGGGUCUUGCAAAGUUGCCACAGCUGGCCUCGAACUUGAAAUCUUCCUCAGCUUCCUCAGCCUCCUGAGGUGUGCACCACUAGGCCCUGCUAAGUAAAAAUUUCCUUUGUGUAUUGGUGAUUGAAUCCAAGGGCCCUUUACCACUGAGCUAUAGCUCAGUCUUUUUUUUAUUUUGAGACAGGAUCUUGCUAAAUUGUUGAGAGUCUUACUAAAUUGCUGAGACUGAUCUCAAGCUUGUGAUCUUCCUGCCUCAGCCUCCAGAGUCACUGGAUUAUACCAUGCCUAGCUAAAAAUGUUUUUAAAGACAGGAGCUGGGGUUGUGGCUCAGUGGUAGAGUGCUCGCCUUGCACGUGUGAGACCCUGGCUUUGAUCCUCAACACUGUAUAAAGAUAAAUAAGUGAAAUAAAGGUAUUGUCCAACUACAACUAAAAAGUAAGUAUUAAAAAAAAAGGACAGGGCCAGAGAGAUUAUUAUCAUUAUAAGUGUUUUGUGAUCAUUUGUACUUUUGAUAUAUUACAAUACCUCGUGGUGAUCCUCAAAGAAAUAAAAAAAAGGAAAAUGCAAUAUAAUGGGGACCAUAUAGAGGUAUUCAUAGAUGCAUAUAGUUCUAAGUCUGUCCCAUAUAGUAAUGGCUUACAUUGAUACCUCUUUACCAAUGAUAAUGUUAUGCUAUUGUAAAUGUCCACAGGUUGAAUUUCUCUUAUCUGAAAUGUUUGGGACUAGAAUUAUUUAGAUUCAGAGUUUUUAAUAUUUUGGGUGUAUUUAUAUACUGGUUAUACGUAAUCUGAAAAUCUGAAAUCCAAAAUAAUCUGUCUUGCAUUUAGGAGAAUUUUGGAGAUUAUUUUGCAUCUUGGAUUUUUAGAUUAGGUAUGUUCAACCUGUUAUAGAUUCUCUCACAUCUACAUUUUUCUGUAGGACCUAAUUUUGGAAGUUAUUCAUAAGAAACCCCUUGUGAAGUCACAUAUACAUUUUGUUGUCAUUGUUUAUAGGCAUCAUUUGUUCUAAUCACUUGUUGUCCUUUCCCUUGUACCAUAUCAUAACAUAGUAUUCUUUUUUUUUAUUAUUUAUUUUUUUCAUAACAUAGUAUUCUAACUUGACUAACUUCACUAAGUUUAUUUGGAAUAGUCUUAAUUAAUUUGGCAAACAAUAAGAAUAUAAAUCUCCCGGCCAGGCGCGGUGGCUCAUGCUGAUAAUCCCAGCAACUCGGGAGGCUGAGGCAGCCUCAGCAAUGGCCAGGCACUAAGCAAUUCAGUGAGACCCUGCCUCUAAAUAAAUACAAAAAAGGGCUGGGGAUGUGGCUUAGUGGUCGAGUGCCCCUGAGUUCAAUCUCCGGUACCAAAAAAAAAGAAUAUAAAUCUCCCUCAUCCUGCUAGGUCUAAGUCUAAGCUUUCUGCUAGUUUUAGGUUUAGUCCAGCUGUCAUGUAAAGGAAUUCUCUGUGGCAGAUGUCGGCAAACAUUUUCUGUAAAGAGCAAGAUAAUAUCUAUUCAACUCUGCAGUUGUAGCAUGAAAGCAUCCGUGGACAAUAUGGACAUGAUUAUGUUCUGAUAAAACUUCAUUUACAAAAACAGGCAAUAGGUGAGAUUUGGACUACAGGCCAGUGUGCUGUUCCUUAUUACUUUACAGUAUAUGUACUCAGACUUUUAGAACAGAAUUAUACAAUAAAGCAAACAUUCAGAGCGAUUUUAGUCAUAUUCUAAUAAAAUAACAAUAAUACAUCUGUACUUGAACCAGCAGUGGAAAGUCUCUUAUGAUCUAUACCAUAAGUGCAUGGUAGAGUGACACAUAAUCUUCAUGGGCCAUGCUAUUACUAUCCCCAUAGAGGAAUCUCCUUCCUGUGGGUCUUUGCAUGGCUUAGAAGGGACAUUGUCUUUGUUACUUAUUCUUAUCCUUACAUUAUCAGCCCCAGUAUUUGCCUUUUUCACCAGUAUGUCUUCUACCUUACUGAUGCUAGUAGAGGAAUCUAAUGGGUUACAGUCACUGUCCCAACAGUCAAAGUAUAGGGGUCCUGUGGUUUUGGUAAUUUGCUAUGUCAAUCUCUAAAUUUGGCUUUCAGGAUUUGGAGGAAUUAAUCCUUCCAUUGCUAUCUCAAAAGGUGAUCUAGACAAUGGAACAGAGACCUCUCAAUCAGGUAAGUGAUUAUUGAACAUGAAGGCAACUAUUUUUCUUUGGCCUUUUUGUUGUAUUUGUUAAUAGGUUUCCUAAUAAUGAACUAACCUUGCAUUUCUGGAAGACAAUUUCUACUUUUCAAGGAUUUUUAAUUAUAUUUGUUAAAUUUAUUAUUUGAGUUUUGUUUUCUAUUUUUUUAAAUUAAUAUUAUCUUUCGAGGUUCAAAAGUGAGUUAGUUUGGGGUAGGAUGACAGUCUUUGUCUGUUAAUGUUAGGAUCAUGAGUGAAAUUUUUUGUUGCUCUCUAUUUAAGCAUAUCAGACAUCUUGCAUGCAGUUAAAUGUGCUUUAUUUACUUUUUGUGGUGCUGGGGAUUGAACCCAGGGCCUUGUGCAUGUGAGACAAGCACUCUACCAACUGAGCUAUAUCCCCAGCCCUUAAAUAUGCUUUAAUAACAUGAUUUUCAAAUUUGUACAUACUAUCAUAUAACACUAUGAAUGUAAAAAUCAAUUUUGUUUUCUGAUAUUUGGAACCUUGUUUCAGUUAUUACCUUUUUUGUUUUUGUUUGUUUGCUAUUCUGGGUCUCUCUAGGCAAGUACUUUACCACUCAGUCAUACACUACUCUCCCCAUAUUUUUUUUUUUCUUUUUUGGGUACUAGAGAUUGAACUCAGGCACUGCUUGGUUCUUCCCUGUUGCUAAGGCUGGCUUUGAACUUGUGAUCCUCCUGUCUCAGCCUCCCAAGCUGUUGGGAUUACAGGCAUGUGCCACUGAGCCCGGCCUGCAGUACCCCUUUAAUUGUGUGUAAAUAGUGCUGUAGUGAACAUCCUGUAGAUAAGGUCUUCACACAUGCUAGGCAACUGCAUAUUCAUGUUUAUAUUGUAACAUUGAAUAAAACGUACAGUUCCUCUAGUAGUAUGAGCAUUCCCAUUUUUACAUAUCCUUACCAAUAUACUGUAUUAAGGUUUUUAAUAAAUCUGCCAAUUGUACAGGUGAAAAAAUGUUCUCCUUUGAAAAUUCAAUAUAUGUCUUUUUAAAAAAAAUUUUUUUAGUUGUAGUUGGACACAAUACCUUAAUUUAACUUAUUUAGUUUUAUGUGGUGCUGAGGAUCAAACCCAGCGCCUCGCAUGUGCUAGGCGAGUGCUCUACUGCUGAGCCACAACUCCAGCCCUCAGUAUAUGCCUUUGAUUCCUAAUGAGGUAGAGGAGAUAAAAAUCUUACUUGGGUCCUAAUUUUUUAGUUUCUUUUUCAUACUUUUUUUAGAUGGUACUGGAAUUGAACACAAAGCCUCCAACUUGCUAGGAAGUGCUCUACUACUGAGCUACAUUCCUAACCCAUUUUUUCAAAUUUUUAUUUUGAGACAAGGUCUUGCUCAGUUGUCCAGGCUAGUCUUGAACUUGUUAUGUUCAUCUCUCAGCCUCCUAAGUAAAAAUUAUAAUUUCAUAUAGCUUAAAUAUCUUUUUUCCCCAUAUUUUAAAAGUGAUGCAUUGUACUUGUACACUGGGAUUUGAUGUUACAUAUUCAUACACUCACACAGUGUAACAAUAUAAUUUGGCCAAUAUAAUUUCCCAGUAUUUCCCCUUUGCCUCUCCUCCUCCCUUCCUCAUUCCCUCCAAAUGUCUUUUUUUUAAUAAUGCAUUCUCCCUUUUCUUUCCAUAUUAUGAAGAUGAAUAUAUUUCAUAAUUCACUUAUGUUUUACUUAUUUUUUAAUGAGUCUUUUCCAGUGUGGAUCUCUUUGGUGUAUGGCAUGUAAUUAAUUUUCUAAAUGUUCAGCACAUUUAGCAUUCAAAGAAUAAGAGGGGUAUCUCAGCAGGAGUUCCAGAAUCUUUUUUUUUUUUACACUGGUGUUGAACUCAGGGACACUUGACCACUGAGCCACAUCCCCAGUCCUAUUUUUUUGUAUUUUAUUUAGAGACAGGGUCUCACAGAGUUAUUUAGUGCCUUGCCCUUUGCUGAGGCUGGCUUUGAACUUGUGAUCCUUCUGUCUCAGCUUCCCAAGCCGCUGGGGUUAUAGGUGUGUGCCACCACGCCCGGUGAGUUUCAGAAUCUUUUUCCAAUAUUUGACUCCUAUCUCCCUCACCCCUACUUCACCCGCCAUACUAGAGAGUGAACCUAGGGAUAUUCUACCAUGAACCCCAUCCCCAGCCCUCUUUAUUUUUUGAGACAGGGUCUUGCUAAAUUGCUGAGGCUGACCUCAAACUUGAUCCUCCUUCUUCAGCCUCUAUCACUCCUGGCUCCAGAGCUCUGCUUUUUUUUUUUUUUUUUUAAAUAUUUGUUUUAGUUGGACACAGUACCUUUAUUUUAUUUAUGUAUUUAUUUAAAAAAAAUUUUUUUUUUAGUUGUUGUUGGACACAAUACCUUUAUUUUAUUCAUUUAUUUUUAUGUGGUGCUGAAGAUUAAACCCAGGGUCUUGCACGUGCGAGGCAAGCACUCUACUGCUCAGCCACAACCCUAGCCCCCUUUAUUUUAUUUUUAUGUGGUGCUGAGGAUAGAACCCAGGGCCUCACACGUGCUAGGUGAGCACUGUACCACUGAGCCACAAUCCCAGCCCCCAGAGCUCUGCUUUUAACAUGAAUAAAUAUUAUCUCUGUCCCUCUUUUUUUUUUUAAUAUUUAUUUUUUAGUUGUAGUUGGACACAAUACCUUUAUUUUAUUUUUUUUUAUGUGGUGCUGAGUAUCGAACCCAGGGCCUUGCAUGUACUAGGCAAGCGCUCUACCGCUGAGCCACAACCCCAGCCCCUCAGUCCCUCUUUUCUGUAAGUGUCUUGUCAGUUUUGCUACCACUGGUUUGUGUUCUUUAUGACAGGAAUUGGCAAACUUUUUCUAUCUAUGGCCUGAUACUGAGUAGUUUAGGCUCUGGGGGCUAUGUGGGUUCUUUCAGUGUCUCAGGGAAAGCAGCUAUAGACCAUGCAUAAAUGAAUGUGACUGUUUCAACAACAAUAGUUGUUGUUCCAACAACUAUUUACAAAAUAUAGCUGGUAGCUGCAUUUGGUCUGUGGGCUAUAAUUUGCCAAUGCCUGCUUUUUAUGUCAUUUUACUGUUUUAUUUUUGGUAGUACUGGGGAUGAAACCCAGGGUUUAAUGCAUGCUAGGCUAGGCAAGUCUACCAUUUACUGAGCUAUUUGCGACAUCCCCAGCAUUCCAUCUCCCUGCCCCUUUUUUUAUUAUACUGGGGGUUGAACUAAGGUCUUCACACAUGCUAGGCAACUGCUCUACCAAUGAGCUACGUUCCCAGCCCCCAGUCCCAGCUUUCAGCUCUUUUUAAUUUUUAUUUUGACUUAGGAUUUUGCUAAAUUGCCCAGGCUGGACUUGAACUUGUAAUCCUCUUUCCUUAGCCUCCCAAAUGGCUGGGGAUAUAGGUGUGUGCCACUACAAUGAAUCUCCCUAUAACCUUUUAGAUUACUAUUUUCACCUCCAGUCUUUGCUACUUAUUACCUGUUUCCAUAUUUCACAUUUCUGAAGUUUUGGAGAGCACAGGUGGUAACUAAACUGCAUGCUUUGCAUGUUAUUUGUAUCAUGUGCUGGGAUGUACAAGUUGUGCUUGCCUGCCUGCCUCCCUGCUUCAGUAUGACUAAUUUCACGUAGCUACAUUGUUUUUGAGGGUCUGUUUUUUGCAAUUCAGAUUUCAUUUCAAGAAAUAAGCUGAUUUAUAUCAAUUUUAAAAUGUCCAAAGAACUUCUUUUUGGUGUGGUAUCAUUUCUGUGAUUCAGUUUAGCUUGUUUUUGAUUCCAUGUGCUUGUGGUCUUGCUUUCUACUAUAGACUUGUUCCUCAUAAUCUGUCUUCCUUUACCCCCUAGCUUCUGGAGGCUUGUUUUUUUUCAAUUUGAAUCUCAAUUGAGCUUUUGUGAUCUCUGUAGACAUGGCCUUCAUUUUAGCUCAUCUUUGUCUUCAUAGACUAUCUGUUUUAACUCUAGGGUGUUCAGUUGUCAUUAAAGUGAGAAUGUCUGAUUCCUUUUGAGUUCUUAAGUUUCCUGAGAUUGUAGGGGUUGCAAUUUAACACAUCCAGGGCAUUUCCUCCUAUUGAUUGCUAAAUGUGACCAUCCUUUUUUCUUUAUAUAUAAUUCAAAAUUGCUUUAGCCUAACAUAAUCCAGUUACUAUGAAUAUUUCUAGUAUCAUUUAAUUGCUCUAAAACUAGAACUCAGCUCAGUCAUAGAGCAUCUAGAAGUAUCAUACCUGUCCACAAGUUCAUAGUCAGUUCCCCAACUAUAUUCCUCCUGAGGGACUCUUUUGCUUCUUCUUUUUUUUUUUUAAUAUUUAUUUUUUAGUUGUAGGUGGACAUAAUAAAUCUUUUUUUUUUUUUAAUAUUUAUUUUUUAGUUUUAGGUGGACACAAUAUCUUUACUUAUUGCUGAGAAUCGAACCCAGUGCCUUAUGCAUGCUAGGCAAGCAUGCUACCACUUGAGCCACAUCCCCAGCCCUGGACAUAAUAGCUUUAUUUCAUUGUUAUGUGGUGGUGAGGUUUGAACCCAGUGCCUCAAGUGUACUUGGCGAGUGCUCUAACACUGAGCCACAACCCCAGCCCCUCUUUUGCUUCUUAAUAUUGGUAUUAGUUGGGUACUUUUCCUUUUCCUCUUUAUUCUUUUCUUUUUUUUUUGGCGUUACUGGGAAUUGAAUCCAGGGGUGCUCUACCACUGAGCUAUAUUCAAUGUAGUUCAUAAAAUAAAACUCUUUAGGUUUUUUAUUUUGAGGCAGCAUCUUGCUAAGUUGCUAGGGCCUUACUAAGUCAGUGUGGCUGAGUUCAAACUUGUGAUGCUCCUGUCUUAGCCUCCUAAAUUGCUGGGGUUAUAGAUGUGUGCUACCAUGCUUGACUAGAUUAGGCACUUUUGAUUGCUAGAAGUAAAAUCGGUGAGCUCCCAUAAUGAUAGGCAGUCCACCUGUAGAGAGAUAAUGCUGACUGAGAUCACCUGCAGUUACAAAUGUAGGAGACAUUAAUAUGAUUAAGCCUCUUAGUGGUAAUAACUGGGUUUAGAGAAGCACCAGGAAACAGCUAUAUCUUUACAUUGGAGUUGUCUCAUUCAUAUCACUGAACUUGUCUGUCUCUCUGAUGAUCUUUUGUAUCUUAUAAUUUGUCCUUUUUGGUGUUGGCCUGUCUGUCCACUUUGGUUUUUCUCUACUACAUGUUUUUAGCUCAUACAUAGGUUUUGCUUCUUUUCUUUUUUUUUUUUUGGCAGCAGGACCAGGAAUUGAACCCAGGGGCACCCUAACCACCAAGCCUCAUUUCUAGCCCUUUUUAUUUUUUCAUUUUCAGACAGGAUCUCACUAAAUUGCUUAGGGCCUCGGUAAGCUGCUAAGGCUGGCUUUAAACUCGCAAUACUCCUGGCUCAGCCUCCCAAGCUGCUGGGAUUAUAGGCAUGCGCCACAGCACCUGGCUAGGUUUUGCUUUCUUAUGCCACCUUCCUUUGCUGCUUGUGGCCCUCAUGGCCUCACCUGUGUGUUGUGUGUUGGCUUCCUGCAUAUUCUUUCAGUUUUAGUUCCUUUUACUGUGAUAACUUUUUUUUUUUUUUUUAAAUAUUUAUUUAUUUAUUUAGUUAGUUCUCGACAGACACAACAUCUUUGUUGGUAUGUGGUGCUGAGGAUCGAACCCGGGCCACACGCAUUCCAGGCGAGCGCACUACCGCUUGAGCCACAUCCCCAGCCCCCUGUGAUAACUUUUGACAGCCAGAUUCUAGUUCCUGAGAACACAAUUUUACUAGAUCUGUCCUAUCCCAUUUUAGUUAGUAACAUACAACAGUGUUUUGUGUUCUUCAGUUAAGUCACUUGUCUCUGCUGCUUUUACUCUGCUUGUUUCUCAGCUUCUAACAUAGCCAUUAACAUCUAAUUUCUUCAUCCUUUGUUUCAGGGGUUGCAAUUGCAAAUGCCUGCAGGAACCACAUGGGGUAAAUGUGUGAGAUGGUUCUGGUAUUCAUUCUCCUUUUUCUUGAAGCACUAUCUUUUGUUAUUUUUUUUCUCUUUCAUUUUCUUUUUUAUUUACCUUUGAUAGAGAUGUUAGAAGACAGUUUAUUGUGAAAUAUAAACAAAUGUGAUGGUAAGGGCAACUUAUGCUUCUAAGAGGUUAGGGGAGUGUUUGGGAUUGUGGUUAUUAACUGGAACAUUCACCAUUCAUCUAAAGGGGGGGCACAACUUGUUGAUACUUGGGCCUAGGGAUGCCAGGAUAUUUGGCUCUGUAUAAGAAAUCUGGUUGGCUUCAAUUCUUUUUUUUUUUUUAAAUGCGUCAGUCCGAUGGAAUAUUUUUAUAAAUACUUUUAUAAUUUUAUGAAUAGUUUCUGCUUUUUCACAAUUUUGGCUUAUUGUAAUGUUACCAUUUCUCGUAUGUCAUGACACGCUAUCUGUUCAACUCAGUUUGGGGCUUGGGCUUAGCAGUUUGUUUUGGAAGUGUUUGGAAUUGGACCAGUUUAUUUGAAUUCAGCUGUAUAAAUUAGAAUGAAAUAGAUUGGGAAAGAAUAGAUUAAGAUAAGUUUCUAGGAACAAACUAACUUCCAACUUGCAAAGGGUAAGUAUUUUGUGAGAUUUUUGUCUCAGCCAUUUGUGUCAUCUUCAGUCCAGUGUACUUUUUUUUUUUUUUUUGGUGAGAGGGAUUGAACCUGAACCUGGGGCCCUCAACCACUGAGCCACAUCCCCAGACCUUAUUUAUUUAUUUUUAAUAUUUAUUUUUUAGUUCCAGGUGGACACAAUAUCUUUAUUUUACAUUUAUGUGGUGCUGAGGAUCAAACCCAGUGCCCCAUGCAUGCCAGGCAAGCACUCUAUCACUGAGCCACAACCCCAGCCCCAUAUUUUUAAUUUUAUUUUGAGACAGGGUCUUAAUAAGUUGCAUAGGGCUUCACUAAAUUCCUGAGGCUGGCCUGGAGCUUGUGAUCCUCCUGCCUCAACCCCCAGAGUACCUGGGAUUAUCCACGAGUGUCACUGCACCAGGCUUUAGUGUACUUACAUUUGCUUUCUUUUUUGCAGGUGUGGGUAUCAAGCCUAAGGCCUUGUGUAUGCUAGGCAAGUGCUUUACCAAUGAGCUACACCCCCAGCCUGUAACUAUCCAUAUAAAUAUAUAUUUUUGGUAUUUGGGAUUGAACCUGGGGUGCUUCACCACUGAGCUACACCCCCAGCCCUGUUUAUUUUUUAUUUUGAGACAGGGUUUCACUUUGUUGCUUAGACCUCUCACCCUCCCCAGUCUCUGGGAUUACAGGCAUGUACCACUGUGCCCUGCUGUUUGUGAUUAUAUUUCUUAAUUGUGGAUUAAACAACUUUAUCAGAUAUUGAUAGAUUGUGAGCAAACAAAGUUACCCUGGACUAGAUCCUUGCUAUAGACAGUCUCCUUUGAAUCCCCAAACAGCAGUUCUUUAAAAUUGGGAGAAUACAUAAAAAUUUUUAAUGUUUUACAUAAAAAUCUAUAUUUUAUUUUUAAUGUGUUUCUGAAAUAUCAGAGAUUGAGUUUGACUUUUCACUGAGGGCUGGCAGUGUACCUCAGUGGUACAGUAUGCCUGUGGCCCUGGGUUCAAUCCAGCACCAGGAAAAAAAAAAGUAAAGAAAGAAAAUGAAAAGCCUCAUCUUAUUAGGGGCUGAGGCCAAGUAGUGGGAGGUUUUAUAUUACCUGCCUAGCUACUGAAGGCAUUUUCAGUGUGUGAGCUUGUAUUUCACAGGAAUCUAAUUUUAGAAGUUGGUUGCCAUUCCUCUUGGGAACAGUAAGGAAUUUAAGGAAGUUUAAGAACGUCCUCAGUUCUUUACUCUGCCUGAAAAACUGUCUCUUAUUUGCAACGAGAUCUGUCAGUAACUAGCAUUUUUAGAUUCAGGUUUUCAACAAGCUUUAUAAUUUGGCACAGUAUUGAAAUCUUGUGUCAGCACCCCUAUUUGAACUUCGUUUCCCUAACAUGUCAUGAAUUACUGAGCUGAUCAUGUCACUUCUUGUUUUUAAGUUUUUGUUAUGUAUCAAAGUACUAAUUUUUUUAUUUUUUAGUUGUAAUUGGACAUAAUAUCUUUAUUUUAUUUAUUUUUAUGUGGUCCUGAGGAUCAAACCCAGUGCCUUGCACAUGCUAGGUGAGUGCUCUACUGCUGAGCCACAACCCCAGCCCCUACAAAUACAAAUAUAAAUUUGUAUUUGUAGCGAGUCUGUUAUAUUUCAGUUCUUUGUUUUGAGGUACUGUCUGCUACAUUGUAGGAUAUGUUACAUCCCUGGCUGCCUUCCUCCAAGCAUCAGUAGUGAUCUCAACUCAACCACUAUGACAAGUAAAAAGGUCCCUACAAAGUUUUCACAACACUGCCCAAGGGUUCUACUGUUCUGGGUAAGAAUCAUUGUUCUAGAUUGGUGCUAUUGACUCUGUUUCAGUUUAUCUUUAAUUAUUUUCUCUUUCAUGCAUAGUUUCAUCUUCUCGACAAUUUGAGCUUAUAUAUCCUUCAUAACUUUUUAUUUUGUGAAACCUUCAGCCUCAGCUUUUGUCCUUUUACCUGAUUGUUCUAUGACUCAAAUUCCUGGGAACUAGAAAACCUUUUUGGCUUAAAUCUUUUUUUUGGCUAGAGCUUUUUACUUAAGGUCAUAACAUAGACUGUCUCCAUUUUUGUCCUUUGAUUUGGUGCCCUAUAAAAGAACAUAUUUUCUAUGGAUGGUUUUGUAUUUGAUAGGAAAUUUGUACAAUUCUGUUUUCCUCAGAAUAGGUAGGUUGAGGGAAUGUGUGGCAGAUACCAUGACUGAUCUGACAGGUAUAUUUUAGUAUGUGGCUGCUAGGCAGAUAAAUAUUUUUAGCCUAAAAUACCUUACAGUUUUCAUGUAUAGAUUCCCUAGUGGAUUCAGUUUUGCUGCUCUAAAUAGUAAUAAUACAAAUUGCCAUCUAGCACUUGUGUCCCAAAAUGAUGGUAUGGGAUAGAUUCAAAAGUAUGUGACCCAGGUGGGCAUUGUGGCUCACACCUGUAAUCCCAGUGAUUCUGGAGGCUGAGGCCAAAGGAUUGCAAGUUCAAGGACAGCACCAGCAACUUAAUGAGACCCUAUCUCAAAAUAAAAAAGAAAAAGCUCUGGGGAANACUAAGAACAGAGCAGGGAGGAAGAGCAGGAGGAAAAGAUUAACAUUAAACAGAGACAUGAGGUGGGAGGGAAAGGGAGAGAAGAGGGAAAUUGCAUGGAAAUGGAAGGAGACCCUCAUUGUUAUACAAAAUUACAUAUAAGAGGUUGUGAGGGGAAUGGGAAAAAAAUAAGGAGAGAAAUGAAUUACAGUAGAUGGGGUAGAGAGAGAAGAUGGGAGGGGAGGGGAGGGGGGAUAGUAGAGGAUAGGAAAGGUAGCUCAAUGAUAAAGCACCCCUGGGUUCAAUCUCCAUUACAAAAAAAAAAAAUCCCACAAUGAACAUGACCCAAAUUGAUAGAACAAAGUAGAAUGUUGGUUGCCAGGGACUGGGGUAAGGAGGAAAUAGAGAAUUGUUUACUGGGAAUAGAGUCAGUUUUGUAGGAGGAAAAAAUUUCUGGAGAUUCUUGCACAACAAUGUGAAUAUAGUACUGAACUAUAAUACCUAAAAUGUUUAAGGUGACAAAAAAUAUAGGUAGAAUAUUACACUAUAUAGACAGCUAUCAGAAUAUAUUAAAUAUACACAACUAUCAGAAUAUAUUAAAAAUGUAGCAAGUCACAGCAUAGGCUUGUUCCAUGUUUGUCUUGAUUUGGCACCCCACAAAAGAAAACUGUUUCUCUGGCUUUGAAAUUGAACUUUGUUCAAUUCUGUUUUUCUUCAAAAAACAUCUUCAAACAAAAAGGAGAUAGGNAAUGGGACUUACUUAAACUAAAAAGUUUUUUCUCAGCAAGAGAAACAAUAAGAGAGGUAAAUAGGGAGCCUACAUCAUGGGAACAAAUUUUUACUCCUCACACUUUAGAUAGAGCCCUAAUAUCCAGAGUAUACAAAGAACUCAAAAAAAUUAGACAAUAAGAUAACAAAUAACCCAAUUAACAAAUGGGCCAAGGACCUGAACAGACAACAAAUUUCAAAUGAGCCUGUUGGCACAGCUGCCAGGUCCCUGACAAAAUUAGCUUUAGUGGUUUUAAAUGCCUAAUUACCACUUUGUCUUAGACUACUAGGGGCUAUUGUCAUGUGCCAGUGUGGGGGAUUCUCAUUUCCUUACUUCCUACUGUGGCACUUCAACCAGUUGCAGAAAACACAUAUUCUUGGUAAGCUUCAGUUGUGGCUGAAAUUCUGUUAGCAGUUUCUGGUAUAAUGGUCACCUGAAUUGUCAAGAAAUAAGAAUACUCUAAAGCCAGCCAAACAAUUUUGAAAUCCCAGAACUAGGCAUGGCCAGCCCUGAGGUGAACAAGGAUCUCUUCAAAUAGGAAAACUGUCUAUUGAAAUCAAGAUAAAAUUUAAGGAAAUGAAAUUCAGUUUCCUUUCUGAGUUUGAAAGUGUUUCCAAGACAGAACUGGGUAUGGCAGUAGCAAGAGUUUUUAUCAUUCAUAUAAUACACCCUUAGCAUUUAUCUAUAUAUCUAUGUAUCUAUUUAUUUUUGUGGUACUGGGGAUUGGAUCCAGGGUAUACUGAACUACAUCUCCAGCCCUUUUUAUUUUUAUUUUGAGACAGGGUCUUGGUAAAUUGCUGUGGCUGGCCUCAAGCUUGUGACCCCUGUGCUUCAGCCUAAUGAGUAGCUAGCAUUACAGGCAUGUGCCAGACACUCCUAAGGAGCUAUUCUUUUUUUUCUUUUAAUUUAUUUUUUAGCUGGACACAAUAUCUUUAUUUAUUUAUUUUUAUGUGGUGCUGAGAAUCGAACCCAGGGCCUCACAUGUGCUAGGCGAGUGCUCUACCGCUGAGCCACAACUCCAGCCCAGAGCUAUUCUUUAACAAAGAAGUCCAAGGGAAUAUUAAAUUUUUGUUAUAUGGUAUUAUAUCAGUUUAAUUAGAAUACAGAGAGUUGCAGUCCUUUCCAUUUGAUAAGAUUUAGAAAAACAGAUUGUGGUACUGGGAAUAAUUUGCUUCAGGUACUUUUCCCCCUAUACUCACAAUUUAAGUAAUUGUUAUAAACUUUUUGAGUGCAUUUUCGUAAUAAAGUUUAAAAUGUUGAAAUAUGGGUUUGGAGAUAUAGCUCAGUGGUAAGAGUAAUUAAUUGCCUAAGAAAUAUAAGGCCUUGGGUUUCAUCUCUAGCAACUCCUUACCCCCUUCUCUAAAAGCAAAGUAUGUACAUCAUGUUGGUUAUUCUAGAGAGGUUUACAUAAGUAAUAUAAUUUCCAUUGGGGUGCUUUAAUUAAAAGUAAAAAUAUUUUUGGCUUAAAAUGUACUAUUUCAGGGCUGGGGCUAUAGCUCAGUGGCAGAGCGCUUGCCUCACAUGUGGGAAACACUGCGAGAUCCUCAGCACCACAUAAAAAUAAAGGUUAUUGUGUCCACCUACAACUAAAACAAAUAUUUUUUUAAAAAUAUACUAUUUCAGCUGGAUACAGUGGCCCAUCCUUAUAAUCUCAACUCAAUUUUUGUUGUAUGGUAUCAUAUCAUACCAUAUGGAGGAGGAGGCAGGAGGAUUGGAAGAUUGAGGGCAGACUCAGCAAUUUACAGAGUGCUUGUAAAUAUUAAAAACAAAGUGCCUGAGGAAUGCAGCUCAGUGGGAGAUCACUCCUGGUUCAGUCCUCCAAUACCACAGAAAAUAAAUAAACAAAUAAACAACAACAAAAUAGCUGGGGGGUUAGAAAUUGAGACUAGUUCUUAUGUUCAAGAUAGAGAAGUUUCUCAUAGGCGUCAAGAGGGCAGGCAGGCUUAUUAAAAUGGAAAGCCCUUUGAAAACAUUUAAAUGUCUGUGUAAAGAUUGCUGAAAAUAGGGGACUCAGUAUAUAGCUCCGUUGGCAGAGUGCUUGCCUUGUAUCCACAAGGCCCUGGGUUCGAUCCUGGGUUUGAUCUUCAGCACCACACACACACAAAAACAAACAAACAAACAAACAAACAAACAAAAAAAUGAAUACUGAAAAUAAUUGGAUAUUAAAUAUAUCAAUUCCUUUGCUAAUACUAAAGAAGUAUUCCUGAAAUUAAAAAAUUGAUUGAUGAAUGUCAUAACAAAAUUCAGUUGAGUUUAACAUUUAAAUAAAUGUUUGACUUGGUAUGUAGUUUGAGAAAGGAAUUCGUAACUCUAAGACCAAAUCAAUAUAUUUGUUUUAUAUUUUUCCUUAUUCUUCUAAAGUGGCUUUCUCUCUCUCCCUUUUUUUUUUUUUUUUCGGGGGUGGGGGAUAGGCCGGGGAUGUUGAGGAUUGAACCCAGGGCUUUGGGCAUGUCGAGCACUUGUUCUACUGUUGAGGUAUACAUGUACAUCAUAAUGUGGGUUAUUCUAGCGCCCCCCCCACCCAUAUCUUUUAAUUCUUAAUGUUAUUUAUUUAUUUAUUUUAGUGAUACUGGAGAUUAAACCCAGUGCUUCCUGCAUGCUAGGCAAGUGUUGCACCGCUGAUCACUGCCCCAGACACCUUUUUAAAAAUUUUAUUCUGGGGCUGGGGAUGUGGCUCAAGCGGUAGCGCGCUCGCCUGGCAUGCGUGCUGCCCGGGUUCGAUCCUCAGCACCACAUACAAACAAAGAUGUUGUGUCCGCCGAAAACUAAAAAAUAAAUAUUUAAGAAAAAAAAAAUUUUAUUCUGAGGAAAAGUUUUGUUCAGUUGCUAAGGCUUGCCUGGAACUUCUGUUCAUCUUAUUCAGCCUCCCAAAUAACUGGUAUUAUGGGCCACUAGCUGGGAUUAUUAAAACUCCCAGUUUUAAUCUGAUUUUUUUUAAAUAAUGAAAGUAUUUACUUUUUCUUUAUCCCAAUUGGUUAAAUAUGUGUUCAAUUUGUGAGUGAACCCAUCCUUUGCUUUUGGAUUAUUUUUCCGUUUUCAGAAAUAGAAGCCAUAAGAUUAAAAAAAUGCGGCUAAAAAGAACAAACAUACUUCCUGUAAAAAGUCUCUAGAAAUGAAGUCAAAAGAUAAGAAAUUGGGAAAAAAUAUUUAUAACACUACCAAGUAAAUGUUAAUCCUCAUUAAUAUAUAAAAAUCUUCUAAAACAUUAAGUCAGGAAACUCUAGUUAAAAAUGAGUCAUGGGGACUUGGGUUGUGGCUCAAGGGGUAGAGUGCUUACCUAGCAUGCCUGAGGCACUGGGUUCGAUCCUUAGCACCUCAUAAAAAUAAGAUAAAGAUAUUGUGUCCACCUAAAACUAAAAAGUAAAUAUAAGGGGAAAAAUGAGUGAAGGCAUGAAUAGGUAGUUCACAGGAAAACAAAUGGCACUUAAAUGUGAAAGAAUAUUCAAGUUUAUUUUAAGAGAAGAGUAAAACAAAAGCACAGAAAGUUAAUAUUUGAGAACUUUGUGUGGAGGCUGGAAAGAUUGUAGAAUGUUACAGUGCAAAAAUAUGAACAGCAUUUUUGACAUUUAUCAGAAUUAAAGUUUUCUAUUUUUUUUGAUCUAGUGAUCUCAGAAUGAUCCUAUAUAUCUGCAAAUUUGAUACAAAAAUUGCAUAUGUAAUCUUGGAUUUCUUUGUGUGUGUGUGUGUGUGUGGGGGGGUACUGGUGGUUGAACCUAGAGAGGCAUUCUACCAUUGAGCUUCCUCCCCGGGUCUUUUGAUUUUUAUUUUGAGAGUGUCACUGGGUUGCUCAGAGUGGCCUCAAAUUUGCUAUCCUUCUUCCUCGGCGUCAGUAGCUGGUAUUAUAGGCAUGCAUCACCAUGUCUCAUUGGAUAACAUUUAUCAAAUGUAGUAAAAUAAUGAAAGAUAAGGAACAACCCAAGAGACUGGAUAAACUGAUGCAUUCACACAAUGGAAUACUAGAAUGCUGUAAUAUUCAGUGAGGAAACAGUCUAUGAAAUAAUAGGAAAUUUAAAGAACAUUAAUUGAAAAACGUAAGGUGUGUAAAAGGUACUACAUAAAGCUUCCUUUCUGGUGGAAAAUGGAUGAACUAUAUGUGUUCAGGGAUUUUUAAAAAAAUUGAUACUGCAAUGUGAAAAUAGUCAUCUUUAAGUGCUGGGAUAAUGGGGCAGGUAUAUCCAGGGUAAGAAUAAGAAUUGUUUUUUGGUACAUUGGAUUGAACCCAGGGGUACUCGGCCACUGAGUUAUAUCCCCGUCCCUAUUUUUUAUUUUAUUUAGAAACAGGGUCUCAAUGAGUUGCUUAGCACCUUGCCAUUGUUGAGGCUGCCUUUGAGCUGGUGAUCUUACUGCCUCAGCCUCCCAAGCAACUGGGAUGACAGGUGUCUGCCCCCUCGCCUGUCAUAAGAAUUUUCUAUGUACAGUUGGAGUUCUUUUGGUAGAAGACUUGAUAUACCAGUAUUUGUAAGGUUCAGGUGAUUUGUUUCUUUUUUUUUUUUUGCGAUAAGUAUGCAUAACAUAAAAAAAUUGCCAUUUUUACAUUUUUGUAGUAUAAUUCAUUGGCAUUUUUCUUUCUUUCCUUUUGUUUCCUUUUUUCUUUCUUUUUUUUUUUAGGUCUGAGGAUGGAACUCACAGCCUCACCCAUGUUAGGCAAAUGCUGUAUUGCGAAGCCACAUCCCCAGCUCUUUUUAUUUUUUAUUUUUGAAAUGUGUGAACAUAUUACUUACUUUAAAAUAAUUUUCUAAGAAAAAUGACAUAAUGCUUUUUAUUUAUUUUUUCCAGUGCUGGGGGUUGAACCCAGGGCCUUGCCUGGUGGUCGACCAAUAAGCUUCAUCCUCAGCCCAAUACCUUUAAUGUUUGCUAUAGUAUUUCAUAUGUAUACUACUAUAUGUUUCUAAGGUGUAUUAUGUAUAAACAAUUAUACAUAAUAACAUACUUUUUAGUAGAUUGGAUGAAUCUCUUAAAAUCAGUGAACUUCUACCAUAGUCAUAGAGGUCAAAGUGUCAUAUAUUUUAGAAUUUGUAGUGAUUCGUUUGCUCUGCAUUAAUACUUGGGGGGGCGGGCUGUGUUAGGUUGGAAAAAUUUAAGUUGGUCUGCUGUUUUGCAUUGCAAUGCUUUUUUUGCACUCUGAUUUACUGUCAGCUUGGUAGAGAUUUGGUUGUGGCUGCCACUAUGUAAAUUCAAAGAGGAUGUCAACAAAGGAUUUUUGUCCUUUGGAAUGCUGUGACUCCAGCUCCUCUAACUGCCUGAUACAUAGUAGAUUCAUAGUAAAUGUUGAAUAAGCAUAAAUAAUGGAUCUCUUACCAUGUACAUAAUACCCUGCAUAUCAUCCCAUAAAUGUAAAUAGCAUGUUAUAUAUGUCUCAUAUGUUCAUUUUUAGGUACUUGUACUAGUAACUAUGUAUGAUAAAUUUUUCAGUAAAUGGUAUGCAUAUUCAAAAAUUGGAUUUGAUUACCCUUUGAAAAUGUACCAAUUUUACUGUCCCUCACAGAUUACAUAUAUUUUUCAAAUCUAUACUACAUGCAAAUGGUAAAUAGUAUAAAAUUCAAUUUUUAUAAAGUUGAUCUAGGUGUAAAUUUUCUUCCCAAUCCUGAUUUCUUAGUCCUCAACAUUUUUUCCUUUUCCUCAGAUUAUAUGUACUAUUAAUUUCAUGUUUCACCUUUCACAGAUAGUUUCUGCAAAUACGACAAUAGUGUUAUUAUUAAGUCUACAUAUUAUAGAAACAGUAACUUGAUAGGAACUGAAAAGUAACACUUAAGUCCCAUUUUUGAUAGUGAUAUGUAAGGAAAAAUGCAGGAGUAAAUAUAUGAGUAAUAAUAUACAAUAAACAAGUCAUUCAUACCAACCAUGCAGGGAUGGUUUAAUUUUAGGAAAUCUGUUAGGUCAGAGGAAAAUAAAAUUAUAUGUGUAGUUCUAUAAUUGGAAUUUCUUCUUAAUACUUUUAUUAUAUAAUUCAUUUUUAAGUCAUUGAUCAUUUGGAUCUUAUUUUGAUCGCAGCAGCUGUAUGAACUUAAAUUGUCAAGUGAUUGGACCAAUGUAUCAAUUACUGUUCAUCUUUAUAGCUUUUGACUUCCUUACUUUAAGAGUUUACUAAAGUCAUCUUCAUCUUGAAUGUUUUCACUAUUGUGUUUUGUGUUAAUUCUAUCUGGCCCUUUUAUCUUUCCCUUCUACUACUUUAUGUCUAGCAACUGUCCUAUAAGGUUGUCACAUAUAUGGAUCUUUCUAGUAGAAUUUACCUAUAAAAAUUAAUAUGUAGUGAAAAAAAUAAAUAUGUAGCAGGAUUAUUUUAACUAUAAUGUUUAUAACAGUAUAACAGUAGCAGAGCUACAUUAAAAACUGCAUUUGGUAAUAUUUCAUGAUCUGUGCUUUCUUGCAUGCCAAUUGCUGCAAUUUUUUUUUUUUUUUUUUUUGGUACUGAAGAUUGAAUUCAGGGGCACUCCACCACUGAGCCACAUCCUCAGCCCUAUUUUGUAUUGUAUUCAGAGACAGGGUCUCACUGAGUUGCUAAGCCCCUCUCCUUUUUGCUGAGGCUGGCUUUGAACUUGAAAUCCUCCUUUCUCAGCCUCACGAGCCACUAGGAUUACAGGUGUGCGCCACCAUGCCUGGUUGCAAAUUGCUUUUGUUCUUGGUUGAGUGAUAAAUAAUUUUUAUGGGUUAUGUCAUGACCAUUAUAUUCAUAAUGUUCUGCUUUGACAUGGGUCUUUCCGUGGCUUAAAUAAGACCUCUUUUUCAUACAUAAGUCUUUCAGUUUUAUAUUUUAAGUAGCAUCAGUUUUAGCAUUUAUCGUGACUGGACUGAAUGUCAUAAUAUUUGGCUCUUAGUUUGAAAUGAAAAUGUGUAGAUACAUUAUUUAUGUAAUAUAAUUUAUCUAACAGUUUACUUAUUAACACGUCUUUAGGUUGUCCCUUUCACAAAUAAUGGUGCAAUGAAAACUUGAUCCGUGUGUCCUUGUGUGAGUAUUUCUAAUAAGAUUUCUAUCUAACUAGAAUAAGAUAUAUUCCAUGCUUGUAUAAUUAUAUCCAAAUGUGUUCUGCUCUUAGGAAUAACUAAAAAAAAAAACAAUCAAUUUUUAAAAAUGCCAAAAAAACCCCAGACAAACCUAAAACAAAGAUUUCUAUAUGAUGCAUCUUUGGAAAAGCUGGUAAAAAUAUGAGCAGCUUUUAUUUAUUAAAAUUCCUUUCACAUUGCCUUCCCCAAAAUGUUUUAAUUUAUACUACAUAGUUUUUACCUAACCCCUUUAUAGUUGCUUAAGAAAUUUCCUUGUGCUUACCUAGAAUGCUUAAGGCCUUGGGCUUGAUCCCUGGCACUAGGGGGAAAAGUAAAAGAAAGAAAAUAAAUUUCCUUCAAAAUUACCACAAUAUGGGACAUUUAACGGGUAUUUUGACAAUGUAUCACAUAACAAUUUCUCCAAAACUUCCCUUGCAUAACGAUCUCACUGGGAAAUUAUAAAUUUCAUUCACUUUAUUUAAUUUGUAAAGUCUAGUUUUUAGCACACAGAAAAGUCAAAAUUUGUGUUAUUUAUUGGUUAAGAUCGGUGGGAGGUUGGAUGUUCUUGUUCUCUUUAUUUAACAUUAUGUUUCAGAAUAAUAUUUGAUAUAUGGAAAAGUUACAAAGAUUGUACAGAGAAUUCCCAUUACAUUAGUCUGGUGCUUUUGCCACUUCCACAAUUGCCCCUCAUACCAGCUCUUGAUAACCUCUAGUAUAUUUUAAAAUUUCUGUGAAUUUUCUUAUUCUAGGUACCUCAUAUAAUUGGUAUUGUGUUCUCCUUUUGUGUGUAAUUUCUCUUAGCACAGUGUUUGAGGUUCAUCUCUGUUGUAGCAUGUUAGAACUUCAUUCUUUAUGAUGGCUGGAAAAUAUUUCAUUAUAUAUUUUCAUGCCAUUUUGUUUAUCCAUUGGUUUUGUUUAUGUACUAUUGUUUAUAUAUAUGUCACAUAUACAUUAGUAUAGAUGUGUUUAUAUAAAGCAUUUUGUUUUUCUGCUAUUUAUGGCUAGUGCUGCUUUAGAACAUACAUGUAAUGCUUUUCUUUUUCUUUUUCUUUUUUGGUACCACUGAACCGCAUCCCCAGCCUUUUUAUAUUUUAUUUUGAGACGGGUCUUGCUAAGUUGAAUAGUGCCUCACUAAGUUGCUGAGGCUGGCUUUGGACUCCCAGAACUCCUGCCUCAGCCUCCCGAGCUGCUGGGAUUAUAGGCGUGUGCCACUACUUUCGGCUGUAAUGCUUUUCUUAAUUGUUCCCACAUCUUAUUAAGGUAAUUAAUUUGGUGUAAAGUGUAUAUUAGAGAAUUAUUUAACUCUUGGAAUAAAAAUUUGAAAUUGAUGCUGACCUAUUAAGAUACAACUUUGAUCCACUGUAAUUAUGAGGUAGUCAUAUCAGUAUUAGUAUAUGUUAUCCAAAAAUUAACACGAACAUUUUCUUAUUCUGGAUAUGAUAUCUUUGGCAUCAUUGCCUGUUCUUCUUGAUUAAAAUGAAAUAAUCUUAUUGAGUAAAUAGUGGUAUGUAAUUUAAAAAUAUCUUCUUUUAACUGUCUUUAAUAUAGUUAGGUGUGUUCUGUAAAAUUGAUGUCAACUCCCCGAAUCUCUAUUAUUUUCUUUCCUUUUUUUCUUCCUGUUCUCUGUAUUCUCUUGAGGGCCUCUAGUUAAUUUCUGUAGGGAAGAAUAUGUUUAAAUCUAUAUCUGUCUCUCAGGUUUACAUGGAUUCUUUUUCGUUUACCCCAAUAUACUAUGUCUAAAAUAUUAUAAUAGAUAUAGUUACUCAUUUUCAAAAAUUUGAAAAGGAGCAUAUCACAAUUAAUGAAAGCAUUUGUAGAAUCUCAUAUUUGUACUGUAUUUCUUUUUAAUGUGUACAUAUCAUUAAUGUUUUAAGAUGGCUCUUAUGAGAAAAUUUUCCUGUCUUUAGAUAUAUGAGUACAUAAAGAUAUCUUAAUUUGGAUCAUGAUUGAUUUAUUUAGAACAUUUCCAUCCUUUUUAGUCAUUGGGAGAGUUUUUAGUUUGAAUAUAACAGUGCAGUUAGCAUACUCAUUGAAAACAUGUUUGUAUGCAUAUGUCCCUGACAGUUUCUUUUAUUAUAAACUGAAGUUAUUAGAGACUUGGUUUGACUUUUUUUUUUGGUAUUUAUUUAUUUAUUUAUUCGUUCAUUCAUUCAUUCAUUCAGUGUCUUGAAUACCUGAAGAGAGUGAGGAGUAAUUGCCAGGGGUAAUUAGACCGAUAUUAAACAGAUAUUAGUCACAUAUUCACACUUCAUUCCUUCACACUUUCUUCAUUCUUCCUACUGAAACACAUAAGCUUCCUGUGCCCUGCUAUUAUGCACCAUUCUUUGCCUUUUGUUCAGCACUUUUUGUUUACUAGGAUUGGGUUCUGUUCAUUUCUCUUUUAUUGGAUGAUUUUCAUUUUUUUCUCAUUGUGCUGGAGGUUAAACUCAGAGCCUCAUCCUUGGUAGGUAAGCACUUUAUCACUGAACUAUGUGCCUUGCCCUCACUGGAUAAUUUUAAUGAAUUUUAGUGUUUGCAAGAUGAUUCUGCCCUCUUGAUCUGCUUUUCCAGCACUUUGUACCAAAUACAACUGCAUACAUUCCUUCACAUUUAAAUACCUAUUAAUCAUAUCUCAUCUACUUGUUAUGUUAUAGAUAACAGUGUUUUUUUGUAUAGUAUUGUUUUUUAUAUUAUUGUCUUUUGAUAAUGAUAGUGACCAUUACCUGAGUACACUUUAAGUGUUUAACAUGUGUAAUAAUGGUUUUUAUGGAAGUAAAUUCUAAUUUGAUCUCUUAAUUUUUCAGAUCGGGUAAUUGAGGUCAAAUACACUCAGUAACAUUGCUCCCAAAUGUCAGAGUGAAGACUCUCUCUCAUUAUCAAUGAUGCUUAAGUUGGAGGUAAAAGUGAGGUCCUCUUCAAUUUCUUGUGAUGAUUGUGCUUCUAGGAAUAUCAGCAAAGGAGAAACAGAAAAGUUUAUAGCAUAGUAACAUUAUGAUUAACUGCUAGUAGAACACUUGAAUGUAUCGAUUAUCUCCACAUUUGAUUUUCAAACCAGGCAAGUACAUACAGAAGUGACCUUUAUUGGGUGUUUUGUUUUGUUUUAGUACUGGGGGUUGAACCCAGGGAUGUUUUACCAAUGAGCUAAUACCCCAGUUCUUUUCAUUUUUAUUUUGAGACCAGGGCUUGCUAAGUUGCUGAGGCUGACCUUGAACUUAUGAACCUUCUUGCUUAGCCUCUUGGUUAUUAUAGGUGUGUACUACCUUGCCUGUAACAGAAAUAACCUUUAAAACGCCAUUUCUUCCUCAAUGUUGGUUCAUUUUUUAGGAAUAGUCAGACCUGUAAAUAAUUCUAAUUGUGUCUAAUUGAUUCAAUCAUCUCACCAACUCCAAUGUUAACUGUUGUUUUCAUUACAUUUCAAAGAUAGGACAUCAAACAAAUGGAAGUUUAGAACUUGGUCAAGAACGGCUAGCUACUGUAAGCCAUUUUUGAACCCAUGUCUUAUGGAGCAAAAGCACAACCUUUUUCUGUUUUUUUUUUUUUUUCCCCCCUGAGCGGUAUUGGGAUUUGAACCCAUGGCUCAUGCAUGGUAAGCAAGCGCUCGACCACUGAACUGCAUCCCUAGCUCCUCUUUUUGAAAAAAAACUUCAAUAUCAGGUUUUGGUAAGUUGCCCAGGUGACCUCAAACUUAGUCCUAUUGCCUCAGUCUCCUGAAUAACUGGACUGAUAAGUAACCUAAUUCUUAAUUGUUCCAGUUGUUGUAUAGUGUCAUCUUUGGACUUUUCUAGAAUCCCUUGAUGUUGCUGCUGUUUCUUCUCAUGACGAAUGUCUCUUAUAAACACGUUUUUGCAGCUUAACUUCACUCCAUGUAAGAAUCUUUUUAACAUGAGACUUGUUCCAUAGGGUUCCAUUGGCUUUGCAAGUUAGAGGAUUGCUUUUUGAUUCUUUCGUUUGGCUAUUAAGACAGAUUCUUAGAGGAGUUUACCUGCCAUUAAGUCAGCUGUUUUGUCCUAGAUGUUUCUUUCCACAUUCAGUUCCCUUUACCUUCAGGUCUUCAGCCUCCAUUUAACUUCCUAUCUUAUGCACUGAGCAUUGCAGAAUUAUGUCAGAUGAGGAAUCAUUCCAUCAAGUAACCGGGAAUAUUGCUGUGAAGAGGUCUGUCUUUUUGUAAGAGGGGUGAGUUUUAAUUCAUUUAAGCUAUAGAACAAGUCAUAAAUUGUAAUGCAUUGCUUAAUUGUCUUAUUUAUAAAGAAAACCCAUUAAUAAUAUAACUAUUAUUCCAAACCAAACAUUUUAUGUCUAUGUACCUGUUUAUUAUUAUCUACUCUAGGCCUUGUACAUAGUCUCUUCUCC
rnacentral:lncRNA from 1 species